GUUUCCAUAGUGUAGUGGUUAUCACAUUCGCCUAUCACGCGAAAGGUCCCCGGUUUGAGACCGGGUGGAAACA